AACACAUGCAAGUCGAGCGGUAGCACAGAGAGCUUGCUCUCGGGUGACGAGCGGCGGACGGGUGAGUAAUGUCUGGGAAACUGCCUGAUGGAGGGGGAUAACUACUGGAAACGGUAGCUAAUACCGCAUAACGUCGCAAGACCAAAGUGGGGGACCUUCGGGCCUCAUGCCAUCAGAUGUGCCCAGAUGGGAUUAGCUAGUAGGUGGGGUAACGGCUCACCUAGGCGACGAUCCCUAGCUGGUCUGAGAGGAUGACCAGCCACACUGGAACUGAGACACGGUCCAGACUCCUACGGGAGGCAGCAGUGGGGAAUAUUGCACAAUGGGCGCAAGCCUGAUGCAGCCAUGCCGCGUGUGUGAAGAAGGCCUUCGGGUUGUAAAGCACUUUCAGCGGGGAGGAAGGCGAUAAGGUUAAUAACCUUGUCGAUUGACGUUACCCGCAGAAGAAGCACCGGCUAACUCCGUGCCAGCAGCCGCGGUAAUACGGAGGGUGCAAGCGUUAAUCGGAAUUACUGGGCGUAAAGCGCACGCAGGCGGUCUGUCAAGUCGGAUGUGAAAUCCCCGGGCUCAACCUGGGAACUGCCCUCGANACUGGCANGCUAGAGUCUUGUANAGAGGGGGUAGAAUUUCAGGUGUANCGCCUGAAAUGCGUACANAUCUGGAGGNAUANACNAUGGNGAANAUCUGCUCCCUGNGUGCACACNGACNCUCACNUGCUGAANGNUGUUGUUGUACAGGAG
rnacentral:rRNA from 1 species